GGGGUACCACGAAGAUCAGGCUGGGUCGGCGUUCACUCCUGCAGCAAGAAAUGGGCAGCCUGGCAAAUGAGUCUUCCAGGUCCCUCCAGGCUUCACGGUAAUUUCACUCACCUUUUGUUUUCGCAGGGAAGUGUUGAAAUCUGCAGCGGCUGAAAGAAUAGAUGUUGAAUUUGCUUUUGAAAAAUCAUCAUAAAAGAAAAAGUCAGCGUCUUUUGUUGUACCCACACGUUCCGGGAAACAAGCUCACUCAGAAGGACAGUGCAGAUAGUGGAGUGCGGUUUAUUACACCGGCGAGCCCAAGGCAGAGUCUCCUCUUAGCCAAGGACCCCGACCAGUUUUUGUGAAAAC